rnacentral:rRNA from 1 species
UACAGAGGGUGCAAGCGUUAAUCGGAAUUACUGGGCGUAAAGCGCGCGUAGGUGGUUUGUUAAGUUGGAUGUGAAAGCCCCGGGCUCAACCUGGGAACUGCAUCCAAAACUGGCAAGCCAGAGUACGGUAGUGGGUACUGGAACUCAUAGUGUAGCAGUGAAAUGCGUUGAUAUUAUGAGGAACACCAAGGGCGAAGGCAGGUACCUGGGCCGAUACUGACGCUGAGGUGCGAAAGCGUGGGGAGCAAACAGG